rnacentral:rRNA from 1 species
AGAAAGCGUAAUAGCUCACUGGUCUAGUGAUUCUGCGCGGAAAAUAUAACGGGGCUAAAAUGAGUACCGAAGCUUUAGACUUGCACUUAAUUCUAAUUAUAAAUUUGGCUAUGAGCUUUUAAGUUAUAUUUCUCAUAAUUUAAUUGCACUCAUAUAAAUUAAAUUAUGAGAAAAUAGUUUAGCUAAAUAAUUAGAAGUAAUUAGAAUUAAGUGCAAGUGGUAGGAGAGCGUUCUAUUCAGCGUUGAAGGUAUACCGGUAAGGAGUGCUGGAGCGGAUAGAAGUGAGCAUGCAGGCAUGAGUAGCGAUAAAAGGGGUGAGAAUCCCCUUCGCCGUAAACCCAAGGUUUCCUACGCGAUGCUCGUCAUCGUAGGGUUAGUCGGGUCCUAAGCAAAGUCCGAAAGGGGUAUGCGAUGGAAAAUUGGUUAAUAUUCCAAUACCAAUUAUUAUGUGCGAUGGAAGGACGCUUAAAGUUAGUGGAGCUAGCGGAUGGAAGUGCUAGUCUAAGGGUGUAGGUUGAGUUAUAGGCAAAUCCGUAACUCUCUAUCCGAGACCUCAAAGGCUCUUGACGCUCUUCGGAGUAGAUGGAGAAUCCAUGAUACUAUCGAGCCAAGAAAAGUUUCUAAGUUUAGUAAUAAUUGCCCGUACCGUAAACCGACACAGGUGGGUGGGAUGAGUAUUCUAAGGCGCGUGGAAGAACUCUCUUUAAGGAACUCUGCAAAAUAGCACCGUAUCUUCGGUAUAAGGUGUGCCUAACUUUGUAUUAAGAUUUACUCCCAAAGCAAAGAAGGUUACAACAAAGAGUCCCUCCCGACUGUUUACCAUAAACACAGCACUCUGCUAACUCGUAAGAGGAUGUAUAGGGUGUGACGCCUGCCCGGUGCUCGAAGGUUAAUUGAUGGGGUUAGCAUUAGCGAAGCUCUUGAUCGAAGCCCGAGUAAACGGCGGCCGUAACUAUAACGGUCCUAAGGUAGCGAAAUUCCUUGUCGGUUAAAUACCGACCUGCAUGAAUGGCGUAACGAGAUGGGAGCUGUCUCAAAGAGGGAUCCAGUGAAAUUGUAGUGGAGGUGAAAAUUCCUCCUACCCGCGGCAAGACGGAAAGACCCCGUGGACCUUUACUACAGCUUGACACUGCUAUUUGGAUAAAGAUGCGCAGGAUAGGUGGGAGGCUUUGAUCCAUAGACUCUGGUUUAUGGUGAGCCAUUGUUGAGAUACCACUCUUCUUUAUUUGGGUAGCUAACUAGCCUAAGUUAUCCUUAGGUAGGACAAUGUCUGGUGGGUAGUUUGACUGGGGCGGUCGCCUCCCAAAGUGUAACGGAGGCUUACAAAGGUUGGCUCAGAACGGUUGGAAAUCGUUCGUAGAGUAUAAAGGCAUAAGCCAGCUUAACUGCGAGACGUACAUGUCAAGCAGAGACGAAAGUCGGUCUUAGUGAUCCGGUGGUUCUGUGUGGAAGGGCCAUCGCUCAAAGGAUAAAAGGUACCCCGGGGAUAACAGGCUGAUCUCCCCCAAGAGCUCACAUCGACGGGGAGGUUUGGCACCUCGAUGUCGGCUCAUCGCAUCCUGGGGCUGGAGCAGGUCCCAAGGGUAUGGCUGUUCGCCAUUUAAAGCGGUACGCGAGCUGGGUUCAGAACGUCGUGAGACAGUUCGGUCCCUAUCUGCCGUGGGCGUAAGAAGAUUGAGGAGAGUUGACCCUAGUACGAGAGGACCGGGUUGAACCAGCCACUGGUGUAUCAGUUGUUCUGCCAAGAGCAUCGCUGAGUAGCUAAGCUGGGAUGUGAUAAGAGCUGAAAGCAUCUAAGCUCGAAGCCAACUCCAAGAUGAAUCUUCUUUUAAGAGCUCUAGUAGACUACUAGUUUGAUAGGCUGGGUGUGUAAUGGAUGAGAGUCCUUUAGCUGACCAGUACUAAUAGCUCGUUUGCUUAUCUU